rnacentral:rRNA from 1 species
GACGAACGCUGGCGGCGUGCCUAAUACAUGCAAGUCGAACGAGAACGACCGGUGCUUGCACUGGUCAAUCUAGUGGCGAACGGGUGAGUAACACGUGGGUAACCUGCCCAUCAGAGGGGGAUAACAUCCGGAAACGGAUGCUAAAACCGCAUAGGUCUUCGAACCGCAUGGUUUGAAGAGGAAAAGAGGCGCAAGCUUCUGCUGAUGGAUGGACCCGCGGUGCAUUAGCUAGUUGGUGAGGUAACGGCUCACCAAGGCCGUGAUGCAUAGCCGACCUGAGAGGGUGAUCGGCCACAUUGGGACUGAGACACGGCCCAAACUCCUACGGGAGGCAGCAGUAGGGAAUCUUCCGCAAUGGACGCAAGUCUGACGGAGCAACGCCGCGUGGGUGAAGAAGGUUUUCGGAUCGUAAAACUCUGUUGUUAGAGAAGAACAAGUGCUAGAGUAACUGUUAGCGCCUUGACGGUAGCUAACCAGAAAGCCACGGCUAACUACGUG